AGGGUUUGAUCAUGGCUCAGGACGAACGCUGGCGGUGCGCCUUAUGCAUGCAAGUCGAGCGAAGCUUUUCAGUAGUUUACUACAGAAAAUGACUGAGCGGCGAACGGGUGAGUAACGCGUGAGCAACCUACCUUAGUUACUGGGAUAGCCCGAGGAAACUCGGAUUAAUACCGGAUAUUCUUAUUUAAUCACAUGAUUUUUUAAGGAAAGGUCAGCCGAACUAAGAUGGGCUCGCGUUCUAUCAGCUAGUUGGUAGGGUAAUGGCCUACCAAGGCUACGACGGAUAGCUGGUCUGAGAGGACGAUCAGCCACACUGGGACUGAGACACGGCCCAGACUCCUACGGGAGGCUGCAGCAGGGAAUAUUGCGCAAUGAGCGAAAGCUUGACGCAGCGACACCGCGUGUGGGAUGACGGAUCUAGGUUUGUAAACCACUUUCAGGAGGGAAGAAAAUGACGGUACCUCCACAAGAAGCCCCGGCCAACUACGUGCCAGCAGCCGCGGUAAUACGUAGGGGGCGAGCGUUGUCCGGAUUUAUUGGGCGUAAAGAGCUCGUAGGCGGUUCAACAAGUCGGUCGUGAAAGUUCAGGGCUCAACCCUGAAAUGUCGAUCGAUACUGUUGUGACUAGGAUACGGUAGAGGUGAGUGGAAUUCCGAGUGUAGCGGUGAAAUGCGUAGAUAUUCGGAGGAACACCAAUUGCGAAGGCAGCUCACUGGGCCGCUAUCGACGCUGAGGAGCGAAAGCUAGGGGAGCAAACAGGAUUAGAUACCCUGGUAGUCCUAGCUGUAAACGAUGGAUACUAGACGUAGGAACUGGAUUGACGGUUUCUGUGUCGCAGCUAACGCGUUAAGUAUCCCGCCUGGGGAGUACGGUCGCAAGACUAAAACUCAAAGGAAUUGACGGGACCCCGCACAAGCGGCGGAGCAUGCGGCUUAAUUCG
rnacentral:rRNA from 1 species